GCUAGGUGGACUGUGGACCCACAUACUCACAGUACUUAGUCCAAGUUCACUGCACGUUGCUGUACCCGCAACUAGGUAUUUGCACGUAUUCAUGUGGCCACCAUCUGGUCAUAUACCAACGGAUUCGUGGGUUCUUUUAAGUGCACAGGGU